rnacentral:lncRNA from 1 species
AAUAUAUGUAUUCGAGCUGUUAUCGAGCCGAACAUGAGCGAGCUGACCUCAGUUUGUGUUCGGCUCAGUUUAAUAAACGAGCCGAAAAAUUCGGCUCGUGUUCGGCUCGUUUACUUCAGCUUUAUGUUCGGCUCAGUUUAAUAAACGAGCCGAAAAAUUCGGCUCGUGUUUGGCUCGUUUACUAAACGAGCAAAUCGAUCUCGAGCUCAUUUCGAG